rnacentral:rRNA from 1 species
AAAUUGAAGAGUUUGAUCAUGGCUCAGAUUGAACGCUGGCGGCAGGCCUAACACAUGCAAGUCGAACGGUAACAGGAAACAGCUUGCUGUUUCGCUGACGAGUGGCGGACGGGUGAGUAAUGUCUGGGAAACUGCCUGAUGGAGGGGGAUAACUACUGGAAACGGUAGCUAAUACCGCAUAACGUCGCAAGACCAAAGAGGGGGACCCUCGGGCCUCUUGCCAUCGGAUGUGCCCAGAUGGGAUUAGC